rnacentral:rRNA from 1 species
CGGGGUGAGUAGUGUCUGGGAAACUGCCUGAUGGAGGGGGGUAACUACUGGAAACGGUAGCUAAUACCGCAUAACGUCUUCGGACCAAAGUGGGGGACCUUCGGGCCUCACGCCAUCGGAUGUGCCCAGAUGGGAUUAGCUAGUAGGUGGGGUAAUGGCUCACCUAGGCGACGAUCCCUAGCUGGUCUGAGAGGAUGACCAGCCACACUGGAACUGAGACACGGUCCAG